GACGGCCAUAUCAUGUUGAAAACACCGGUUUCGUCCGAUCACCAAAGUUAAAUAUCGUUGGUCGCGGUCAGUACUCGGAAAGAUAACCAUCUGCGAACACCAGGGGCCGUUG